ACCCCCCCCCUGGGGUUGCUCCCCAACAAGCCAGAGCCGCACCACCAAGGUACACCGAGACAGCCGCGGCAUUUGUCAGCCCUACGCCGGCACGCUGGGCUCCCUACAUCACCGCGCCUCGGAGGCCCAACCGCGGCCCGCACCACACUCGUCGCGUCAUGGCCCUCCCACACCAUCGCCCCCGCCCCCCCCCUCUGUGUUCGCGCCGCCCACAAGAACAAGUCCAAGAUGGCCAAGCGUGCAUGCCCAGUCGCACAACCAUCCCUCCUGGGCCCUCUUCACCUCAUGAUGGUAGUGGACCCCCCGAGCGUGCAGCGCAACCGGACGCCGGCACGGCAGCGCGCCAUCUGUGUUCAUCACACCGCAAUCCCCACAUCCUCCGCGGGCAAGGAUGUCACGCAGGCCACACUACGAUUCGUCCUCUGCAAGGUGGCGCGCUGGGCACUGGAGCACGCCAGGCAGCUGGAUGAGCAUCCCCCAACACAAGGCGCACACGCGCCGGUGCGCGGCACCGCGACCAGCAGCAGCUCUCCGCUGCACGCAGUGACCUGGUUACGCACGUCUCACCCGAGCUGCGCGGGCUUCCCCCGUGGCGAGUGUAACGCUGCGAACAGUCCCCCUUGAGGACGGCGGACUGUGAGCUCUCUGUGUGCGCAGCCACACGCUUCUUCACGGGUUCCUUCCGCUCGGCACGCCCACUCCUGUCAGAGGCGUGCGGAUUCACGAGAGGGUGGAGUAACCAUGCUGCCGCAGUAUCUUGGCAGCGUUCCUCCUGUCGGUGGCACACGCGGGCACGCCGUUCAGGCACGGCCCCCUUCAUGACGUCGACAGAGAUGGAAGGCGAGGACGGCGAGCCCACCAGGUAAGAACGCCGUCGUGGCGCAGGCCACAGGAUGCAGAAAAUGUGUGCGCUGUCAACCACAGCUGGCUUGGUGCAUCACACCCACGCAAGACAUGCAGAGGUGAGCAGAGCAGGGGCGAGAGACGGAAGAGACGCGAAGAGACCCACACGAAUCGACCCCACAGUGCAUGCGUGCGAAGAGCAUGCAGCGUCUCCCAGAUCGGACCGUGUGGGAUGACGGGGUGCAGAUGUCGGAAAGCCUGAUGUGAGCACCGCGAAUUGUGCCAUCGAGCCAGUGAAAAUUCCAUGUGAGGAGUUUCCACACCUUAUCAUGGGAUGCUGCGGCUUGAAGCGACUGAGGGCAAGGCAUGGUCUAUGCCGGCAGAGCACAGGGUCUCUGAAAGCUCUGGUCUGUGGCUGGCCGACUUCUUCCCUAAGCUCAUCCGGCAUGUGCCAGGACCACCUCUGUACUAUCCGCACGCUAGACGCCACCACCCGCACCCUCGAGCAGAGGGCCCUAAAGGUUGCCCGACUUAGAUCAAGGCAUUCACUCCAUCCGAGUGUGUCUGGCGCCAAUCGCGUCGCAUGUAUGCGAAGGAGGGACAGGGAAAGACCAGUAGAGCCCGUCAGGCGCAGGGCGCUGAUUCGACUGGCUGGACGGUUCGUCCUAGACGGCCACGAGGAUGUAGCCGCGGCGCAGCAGGAGGGCCAGGUGGGCUGUGGUGUUGUGUACGUGUGUAUACGUGUUGACUUAUUCGUUUGUCGUAGAAUGGGCACGUUGCAAGCCAAAAAGAAAGAAACGAAUGCGGUGCUCAUACAUGCGCAUCUAUGUGUGUAUGUUUGUGUGUCCCUCGAUGCAGAGUCUCCGUAGCGUGAGUGCGCUGUGUCACCCACGUGUAUAAGCACAAGCACACACACACACACACACACAUACAUACAUACAGAGAGAGAGGGAGGGGAGGGGCCGACAACGUACUGGCCCGCUCUUUCCGUUACCACAGCGGAAUCAAGCAUCACGUUGAGCACAACAGCAACAUGUGUGUGUGUGUGUGUGUGUGUGUGUGUGUGUGUGUGUGUCGCGGUUUUGUGACUUUGUUGUUCGCUCUGGUCGAGCAGAGUUCAGGUAACAAGGGCCGGUAAGGCUGCUGCAGACGCAUGGGCGAGGGGUAAGGCAAAACAGAGAGGUUGAGAGAAAGAGUGAGCUGCACUACAGGAAUGGAUACCAUCCUGGCCGAUUCAAUGCGCUCAGCAGGACGGGAAGGGGACGCUUUUUCCCCUUACUUUCCUCAGUAGUUAGCAGUCGCCCUCAUCUCAUUCUCCCUGCACGUAGCUCUGCGUCUGUGCUACUGCCGGUGACCCCACAACGCACAACGCCACCCCCACCAGCACCCUCCUCUCCUCUUUCCACUGUCUGUGUCUGCGCGUCAGAGGGAACACACAGCAUACGGCGUGUAAUAUGACCUCUUGUCACACUCACCAUCCUCCCUCCCUCCUUCCCCAUACUCCCCUUCCUCUGUCACUCUCUCUCCCUCUCGUGGAUGUGGCCAACGCGUCUCUACAUGAACGAAUCCCGCAUGUAUCCACAUGUCCGCAUGCAUGCACGCCCGCGGAUACGUCCCUUCCCUUUCGACAUUGCUGUCCACUCAUCGAAG
rnacentral:misc_RNA from 1 species